GGGAGUGAUCAGAUCCUCCAGGA
rnacentral:siRNA from 1 species